rnacentral:rRNA from 1 species
CCUACGGGAGGCAGCAGUAGGGAAUCUUUCACAAUGGGCGAAAGCCUGAUGGAGCAACGCCGCGUGCAGGAUGAAGGCCUUCGGGUUGUAAACUGCUUUUAUAAGCGAGAAAUAUGAUGGUAACUUAUGAAUAAGGAUCGGCUAACUACGUGCCAGCAGCCGCGGUCAUACGUAGGAUCCGAGCAUUAUCCGGAGUGACUGGGGGUAAAGAGUUGCGUAGGUGGCAUAAUAAGUAGCUAGUGAAAUCUGGUGGCUCAACCAUUCAGACUAUUAGCUAAACUGUUAAGCUCGAGACCAUUAGGGGUAGCUGGAAUUUCUAGUGUAGCAGUGAAAUGCGUAGAUAUUAGAAGGAACACCAAUAGCGUAGGCAGGUUACUGGGACGGUACUGACGCUGAGGCACGAAAGCGUAGGGAGCAAACGGGAUUAGAUACCCCUGUAGUC